rnacentral:rRNA from 1 species
UACGUAGGGGGCUAGCGUUGUCCGGAAUCAUUGGGCGUAAAGCGCGUGUAGGCGGCCCGGUAAGUCCGCUGUGAAAGUCGGGGGCUCAACCCUCGGAUGCCGGUCGAUACGGGCAUCACUGGAGUUCGGCAGGGGAGACUGGAAUUCCUGGUGUAGCGGUGAAAUGCGCAGAUAUCAGGAGGAACACCGGUGGCGAAGGCGGGUCUCUGGGCCGAUACUGACGCUGAGGAGCGAAAGCGUGGGGAGCAAACAGG